rnacentral:snRNA from 1 species
ACAUGGGUUAGUCGAUCC